rnacentral:rRNA from 1 species
UUUGAGAGUUUGAUCCUGGCUCAGGACGAACGCUGGCGGCGUGCCUAAUACAUGCAAGUCGAACGAACUCUGGUAUUGAUUGGUGCUUGCAUCAUGAUUUGCAUUUGAGUGAGUGGCGAACUGGUGAGUAACACGUGGGAAACCUGCCCAGAAGCGGGGGAUAACACCUGGAAACAGAUGCUAAUACCGCAUAACAACUUGGACCGCAUGGUCCGAGUUUGAAAGAUGGCUUCGGCUAUCACUUUUGGAUGGUCCCGCGGCGUAUUAGCUAGAUGGUGGGGUAACGGCUCACCAUGGCAAUGAUACGUAGCCGACCUGAGAGGGUAAUCGGCCACAUUGGGACUGAGACACGGCCCAAACUCCUACGGGAGGCAGCAGUAGGGAAUCUUCCACAAUGGACGAAAGUCUGAUGGAGCAACGCCGCGUGAGUGAAGAAGGGUUUCGGCUCGUAAAACUCUGUUGUUAAAGAAGAACAUAUCUGAGAGUAACUGUUCAGGUAUUGACGGUAUUUAACCAGAAAGCCACGGCUAACUACGUGCCAGCAGCCGCGGUAAUACGUAGGUGGCAAGCGUUGUCCGGAUUUAUUGGGCGUAAAGCGAGCGCAGGCGGUUUUUUAAGUCUGAUGUGAAAGCCUUCGGCUCAACCGAAGAAGUGCAUCGGAAACUGGGAAACUUGAGUGCAGAAGAGGACAGUGGAACUCCAUGUGUAGCGGUGAAAUGCGUAGAUAUAUGGAAGAACACCAGUGGCGAAGGCGGCUGUCUGGUCUGUAACUGACGCUGAGGCUCGAAAGUAUGGGUAGCAAACAGGAUUAGAUACCCUGGUAGUCCAUACCGUAAACGAUGAAUGCUAAGUGUUGGAGGGUUUCCGCCCUUCAGUGCUGCAGCUAACGCAUUAAGCAUUCCGCCUGGGGAGUACGGCCGCAAGGCUGAAACUCAAAGGAAUUGACGGGGGCCCGCACAAGCGGUGGAGCAUGUGGUUUAAUUCGAAGCUACGCGAAGAACCUUACCAGGUCUUGACAUACUAUGCAAAUCUAAGAGAUUAGACGUUCCCUUCGGGGACAUGGAUACAGGUGGUGCAUGGUUGUCGUCAGCUCGUGUCGUGAGAUGUUGGGUUAAGUCCCGCAACGAGCGCAACCCUUAUUAUCAGUUGCCAGCAUUAAGUUGGGCACUCUGGUGAGACUGCCGGUGACAAACCGGAGGAAGGUGGGGAUGACGUCAAAUCAUCAUGCCCCUUAUGACCUGGGCUACACACGUGCUACAAUGGAUGGUACAACGAGUUGCGAACUCGCGAGAGUAAGCUAAUCUCUUAAAGCCAUUCUCAGUUCGGAUUGUAGGCUGCAACUCGCCUACAUGAAGUCGGAAUCGCUAGUAAUCGCGGAUCAGCAUGCCGCGGUGAAUACGUUCCCGGGCCUUGUACACACCGCCCGUCACACCAUGAGAGUUUGUAACACCCAAAGUCGGUGGGGUAACCUUUUAGGAACCAGCCGCCUAAGGUGGGACAGAUGAUUAGGGUGAAGUCGUAACAAGGUAGCCGUAGGAGAACCUGCGGCUGGAUCACCUCCUU